AUUGAACGCUGGCGGCAGGCCUAACACAUGCAAGUCGAGCGGAGCGGCGGACGGGUGAGUAAUGCCUAGGAAUCUGCCUGGUAGUGGGGGAUAACGUCCGGAAACGGGCGCUAAUACCGCAUACUAUCAGAUGAGCCUAGGUCGGAUUAGCGAGUUGUGGGGGUAAAGGCCUACCAAGGCGACGACCCGUAACUGGUCUGAGAGGAUGAUCAGUCACACUGGAACUGAGACACGUUCCAGACUCCUACGGGAGGCAGCAGUGUGGAAUAUUGGACAAGGGGUAAAAGCCUGAUCCAGCCAUGCCGCGUGUGUGAAGAAGGUCUUCGGAUUGUAAAGCACUUUAAGUUGGGAGGCGUUACCAGCAGAAUAAGCACCGGCUAACUCCGUGCCAGCAGCCGCGGUAAUAC
rnacentral:rRNA from 1 species